rnacentral:miRNA from 3 species
ACGAUGUUGACUUCCGCUCCUCU